AGGACGAACGCUUGCGGCGUGCCUAAGAAAUGCAAGUCGAACGAGGGCUUCGGCCCGAGUGGCGAACGGUCGCGUAACACGUGGGCAACCUGCCCUGAAGCGGGGGACAACAUUCCGAAAGGAUUGCUAAUACCGCAUGUGGUCAUUUUCUGCAUGGAUUAUGACUAAAGUCUUCGGACACUUCAGGAUGGGCCCGCGGCCUAUCAGCUAGUUGGUGGGGUAACGGCCUACCAAGGCUAUGACGGGUAGCUGGUCUGAGAGGACGGCCAGCCGGGAUUGGGACUGAGAUACGGCCCAGACUCCUACGGGGGGCAGCAAUUAGGAAUCUUGCGCAAUGGGGGCAACCCUGACGCAGCGACGCCGCGUGAAGGAUGACAUACUUCGGUAUGUAAACUUCUUUAUUGGGAAGAAGAAUGUGACGGUACCCAAUGAAUAAGCCCGGCUAACUACGCGCCAGCAGCCGC
rnacentral:rRNA from 1 species